GGAUUAGGCAUUUAUAUGGACAAUAUCUUAACUUGGCUGGUAUACAAAAUUUAGAAGGGAUAUAAAUCUUCAUGCUUCAGGAUAUAAGCCUACCACUAACUGAUGGGGGUCAGGAAGAAACUUCUCCUAUGGGCAGAUCAUUUCUUCAGAUAAAGAAUAUUUCUUCUCCCAACCCGCCCUGCCUCACACCUACAGUACCCCGCAGCAACAAGAGAGCUCAGUGACAUGAGAAGAAUGGAACAUGACAACAGUGAAGACGAUGACAGCGGAGACACCUCCGAAGAAAUGCCCUAGAGCCCUUGGGCCGUCACGCUUCAGGAAUGUGCGUGAGGUACUAGGAGACCUGGAGAUGGCGGGUGUCCUGCUGGCCAUAGCCACUUUUGAUCUCCUGGCUUCUGUCCCCUACCCUGCUGGCAGGCCAUUGUGCAGCACCCUUUCCAGCCCACCUGGGUGCAGGAGAUCGAGGAAGAGAGCAUCUGCCAUCCAGCUCCAUCCCAUCUAGCGCAAGAAGCAGAGGAGGCAGCAGCCCAGCCCCAGAGCCCAGCAGAAGCCAUCCACCAGCCUGGCCACCGAGGAGCCUCCAGGCAGCCCAGAGCAGGAGCUGGGCGGCUCCGGCACAGGAACCAGCAGCUCCUCUGUGGGGUCUGACAGCCCUGAGGCUGAAGGCUCCCUCU